AGUAUAUUUUUUUACUAUUUUAAAAUACGUGAUUUUAUAUAUAGUAUAGAUAGUGUAGAUAUUAUAUUAUAGAUAGAGAUAAAAAAGAAUUAAACAAAUUUUGAAUUAAAAUAUAAAUUUACAUUAGAUAUUUUUCGGUUGGUAAAAAUUUAGAUAAGCAUCAAUUUUUUUUUCUGUUGUAGAAAUAAAGAGGAAUUAAAAGUUUGUUCAAUUCUGUUAUUUAUUUUACAUAACAAAAGAGGAAUCAAUUUUUUUUAAUUCCCGCCAAAAAAAUAAGUCUGUCGACAGACCGAAAUUUGAAAUACGUGCUUUUAUAUAUAGUAUAGAUAUAGAUAUAGAUAGUAUAGAUAUAUAUAAUAAAAUAUUAUAUAUUAAAUAUAUAACAUGUAUAUAUUUAAUACUAGAUAUUUAUAAAUAAUAUAUUAAAAAUAAAAUACUAUCUUUAAAAUAUAUAUAUAUAUAUAUAUAUAUAAAAUCUAUAAUAAUCUAUAUCUAUAUCUAUAUCUAUAUCUAUAUCUAUAUCUAUAUCUGUACUAUCAAUAAAAGCGUAUAGGAAUUCCGAUAAUGACAGACGGAAUCCAAAAAGGAAUAAAAUAAUGUUCCCUACGAAUGGUUAUGAUUAAUUUGUUAAAAAUAUCUCAAAUAAAAAUUAACGAUUAUGAUCAAUCUAUUAAAUCUCUACUAUCUAUAUCUAUACUAUAUAUAAAAACGUAUAGAAAUUCUGACAAUGACAAACGGAAUUCAAAAAGGAAUAAAAUAAUAUUCCCUAGGAAUGGUUAUGAUUAAUUGUCACGCCCCGGGGCCGAUUUUAAAAGCCAUUUUGAAAACAGAGUUGCGAAAAACGUGCCAUAUUUUUUUUUUUUUUUUUUCAACCUGGCCCACGCGACGUACAGACCCGCCACAAAUACAAAGUUCCUCUGUCCACUCGGACAGAGUCUCCUUUGUAUUUGCACGGCGUACCAACGAUACAACAGGAUCACAACCACAACCUACAUUUACCAAUCAACAACCAAGGCAUGAUAUGCAUUUCCAUACAGCUAACAAUCCUUAGAAUGAUGCAUGCCUCUAAGCACUCCUUAGGCGCUGGAUGAUGCAAUGCACAAUACAACAACAUCCUAUUAAAAGUGCUCCCCACACGGAAGCUUUUGUUUUUAAACUCUAAUUCAAUCAUUCAUAAAAACCAUUCGAAAAUUUUUUUAAAACUGUUUCCCACACGGAAACUCUAUUUUGAAAACCGACUACCUCGAGGGGUAGAAAACCACGAUGCAUAACUACAAGAAAACCAAAUCUCCACAGAACCAAAACCACAGAUCGAAAACUCCAAUCUCAUGUAUAAAAGAAACCAACACCACAGUUCACAUACAUUCAAGCAUACAUAAGAUCAGCUAACUGAACCAUUAUUAAGAAAACUACUAAGUGCGGGAAAGAAAUAACCAGGGUGACGGUCGCUACUGCCGUCUAACUAGAUCGUCCUCUCGUCGAGCCCAAAAUCCAACUCCUCGUCUCUGUCACCUGGGGGGGGAAAAGGGGG
rnacentral:lncRNA from 1 species